AGAGUUUGAUCAUGGCUCAGGACGAACGCUGGCGGCGUGCUUAACACAUGCAAGUCGAACGGAAAGGCCCUUCGGGGUACUCGAGUGGCGAACGGGUGAGUAACACGUGGGUGAUCUGCCCUGCACUUUGGGAUAAGCCUGGGAAACUGGGUCUAAUACCGAAUAGGACCACGCGCUUCAUGGUGUGUGGUGGAAAGCUUUUGCGGUGUGGGAUGGGCCCGCGGCCUAUCAGCUUGUUGGUGGGGUAAUGGCCUACCAAGGCGACGACGGGUAGCCGGCCUGAGAGGGUGACCGGCCACACUGGGACUGGGAUACGGCCCAGACUCCUACGGGAGGCAGCAGUGGGGAAUAUUGCACAAUGGGCGCAAGCCUGAUGCAGCGACGCCGCGUGAGGGAUGACGGCCUUCGGGUUGUAAACCUCUUUCAAUAGGGACGAAGCGCAAGUGACGGUACCUAUAGAAGAAGCACCGGCCAACUACGUGCCAGCAGCCGCGGUAAUACGUAGGGUGCGAGCGUUGUCCGGAAUUACUGGGCGUAAAGAGCUCGUAGGUGGUUUGUCGCGUUGUUCGUGAAAACUCACAGCUUAACUGUGGGCGUGCGGGCGAUACGGGCAGACUAGAGUACUGCAGGGGAGACUGGAAUUCCUGGUGUAGCGGUGGAAUGCGCAGAUAUCAGGAGGAACACCGGUGGCGAAGGCGGGUCUCUGGGCAGUAACUGACGCUGAGGAGCGAAAGCGUGGGGAGCGAACAGGAUUAGAUACCCUGGUAGUCCAA
rnacentral:rRNA from 1 species